GCUCAGAGCGAACGCUGGCGGCAGGCUUAACACAUGCAAGUCGAGCGGGCCCUUCGGGGUCAGCGGCGGACGGGUGAGUAACGCGUGGGAACGUGCCUUCUGGUUCGGAAUAACCCUGGGAAACUAGGGCUAAUACCGGAUACGCCCUUUUGGGGAAAGGUUUACUGCCGGAAGAUCGGCCCGCGUCUGAUUAGCUAGUUGGUGGGGUAACGGCCUACCAAGGCGACGAUCAGUAGCUGGUCUGAGAGGAUGAUCAGCCACACUGGGACUGAGACACGGCCCAGACUCCUACGGGAGGCAGCAGUGGGGAAUAUUGGACAAUGGGCGCAAGCCUGAUCCAGCCAUGCCGCGUGAGUGAUGAAGGCCUUAGGGUUGUAAAGCUCUUUUAUCCGGGACGAUAAUGACGGUACCGGAGGAAUAAGCCCCGGCUAACUUCGUGCCAGCAGCCGCGGUAAUACGAAGGGGGCUAGCGUUGCUCGGAAUCACUGGGCGUAAAGGGCGCGUAGGCGGCGUUUUAAGUCGGGGGUGAAAGCCUGUGGCUCAACCACAGAAUGGCCUUCGAUACUGGGACGCUUGAGUAUGGUAGAGGUUGGUGGAACUGCGAGUGUAGAGGUGAAAUUCGUAGAUAUUCGCAAGAACACCGGUGGCGAAGGCGGCCAACGGACCA
rnacentral:rRNA from 1 species